UACGGAGGGUGCAAGCGUUAUCCGGAUUCACUGGGCGUAAAGGGCGCGUAGGCGGGGAGGUAAGUCGGGUGUGAAAUCCCUCGGCCCAACCGAGGAACUGCGCCCGAGACUGCUUCUCUUGAGUCCCGGAGAGGAAGAUGGAAUUCCGGGUGUAGUGGUGAAAUGCGUAGAUAUCCGGAGGAACACCAGUGGCGAAGGCGGUCUUCGAGGCGCUAACUGACGCUGAGGCGCGAAAGCGUGGGGAGCGAACCGG
rnacentral:rRNA from 1 species